GAGCAAAGUGAGCUGCGCAGAUGAGGGGAGACUCGUCGUCACCGGGCGUGCAGUGGCAUCUGCUGGGCUCCCCCAUCCCGUCCUAACCCGGAACAGCCCCGGGCAGGAGGCGUGGAAAGUCGAGGGGAGAAACCGCGAAUGUGUGUUGUGUAAGCCAAGGCGCAGGGUGGGGCGCGGGCGGGACUUGGGCGGGUGGGGUGGGCUUGGCCGAGCCGGCCUCCGGGGCAUCGACCGCUAUAAGGCCAGUCGGACUGCGACACAGCCCAUCCCCUCGACCGCUCCCGUUGCACUUGGCCGCCUCCCUACCGCUCCAAGUCCAGCCCUCAGCCAUGGCAUGCCCCCUGGAUCAGGCCAUCGGCCUCCUUGUGGCCAUCUUCCACAAGUACUCCGGCAGGGAGGGUGACAAGCACACCCUGAGCAAGAAGGAGCUGAAGGAGCUGAUCCAGAAGGAGCUCACCAUUGGCUCGAAGCUGCAGGAUGCUGAAAUUGCAAGGCUGAUGGAAGACUUGGACCGGAACAAGGACCAGGAGGUGAACUUCCAGGAGUAUGUCACCUUCCUGGGGGCCUUGGCUUUGAUCUACAAUGAAGCCCUCAAGGGCUGAAAAUAAAUAGGGAAGAUGGAGUCACCCUCUGGGGGUCCUCUCUGAGUCAAAUCGAGUGUGGGGCACCAGCCAUCGGAAGAUUAGCUCAUAGUCAGCCUCUGAAAAUGACUCAUUGACUCGCCAGGCCAGGGGACCCACCCUGACAAGGCUCCCUCUAGCACAUAAGGUGCCUUUAUGUGAAUGAGGAGAGAUGCCCCUCUUGGCAAUGCCAUCCUAAGGAAAGCCUCAAGUGGUUUCCAGUAGAGAGUGUCCUGGGAUGAGGUUGG